UACGUAGGGUGCGAGCGUUAAUCGGAAUUACUGGGCGUAAAGCGUGCACAGGCGGUUUUGUAAGCCAGAUGUGAAAUCCCCGGGCUUAACCUGGGAAUGGCAUUUGGGACUGCAAGGCUUGAGUGCGGCAGAGGAGACUGGAAUUCCUGGUGUAGCAGUGAAAUGCGUAGAUAUCAGGAGGAACACCGAUGGCGAAGGCAGGUCUCUGGGCUGACACUGACGCUCAUGCACGAAAGCGUGGGGAGCAAACAGG
rnacentral:rRNA from 1 species